GACGAACGCUGGCGGCGUGCUUAACACAUGCAAGUCGAACGGAAAGGCCCUGCUUUUGUGGGGUGCUCGAGUGGCGAACGGGUGAGUAACACGUGAGUAACCUGCCCUUGACUUUGGGAUAACUUCAGGAAACUGGGGCUAAUACCGGAUAGGAGCUCCUGCUGCAUGGUGGGGGUUGGAAAGUUUCGGCGGUUGGGGAUGGACUCGCGGCUUAUCAGCUUGUUGGUGGGGUAGUGGCUUACCAAGGCUUUGACGGGUAGCCGGCCUGAGAGGGUGACCGGCCACAUUGGGACUGAGGUACGGCCCAGACUCCUACGGGAGGCAGCAGUGGGGAAUAUUGCACAAUGGGCGGAAGCCUGAUGCAGCAACGCCGCGUGCGGGAUGACGGCCUUCGGGUUGUGAACCGCUUUCGCCUGUGACGAAGCGUGAGUGACGGUAAUGGGUAAAGAAGCACCGGCUAACUACGUG
rnacentral:rRNA from 1 species